GACGAACGCUGGCGGCGCGCUUAACACAUGCAGGUCGAACGGAAAGGCCUGCUUUCCCUUGUGGAUUGCGGGUACUCGAGUGGCGAACGGGUGAGUAACACGUGAGUGAUCUGCCCCCAACUUGGGUAUAAGCCUGGGAAACUGGGUCUAAUUCCCGAUAGGACUGCAGGGUGGUGCCUGUGGUGGAAAACGAUUUUCUAGUGGUUGGGGAUGAGCUCGCGGCCUAUCAGCUUGUUGGUGGGGUAAUGGCCUACCAAGGCGGCGACGGGUAGCCGGCCUGAGAGGGUGGACGGCGACAUUGGGACUGAGAUACGGCCCAGACUCCUACGGGAGGCAGCAGUGGGGAAUAUUGCACAAUGGGCGGAAGCCUGAUGCAGCGACGCCGCGUGGGGGAUGACGGCCUUCGGGUUGUAAACUCCUUUCGACCGCGAGGAAGCCACCUGGUUGGAAGGGUGGUGACGGUAGUGGUAGAAGAAGCACCGGCUAACUACGUG
rnacentral:rRNA from 1 species